rnacentral:pre_miRNA from 1 species
AUGCCCAACGUUCCGGCCGUGGCACGGCCUUCGUCAGAGAGUGAUCCGGUCUCUGACGCAGGCCGUGCCACGGCCGAAACGUUGGGCAUA